CACAGGACCGCGCCUGCUAAUCCCAGUCUGUGAUCACAUAGCCCUUUGCAAGUUAGCCCCUUAUUUGACAUGGCUUUUUACACACACACCCCUCCUUCCAUAACUCUCAGUAAUUAGAGUAACAGCAUAACAGCUGUGGCAGUCUGCUUUCUCUUUGAGUAAAUUAAUGUUUCUUUUACAGAAGUAUUGCAGAAAAGGGAGGCCCUCUCGAGGAAUCUUACUGAAUUGCAGACUCUCCAGUUACAAGAAAGCUGCCUGUCUGAAUUUUUAGAAGAGCUGCUUUUGUUGGUUCCAAAGAUUCUGUUAUUAGAAAACUCUGCUCUGAGCUGGCUCCUGCAGCUCAUUUGACAAUGACUGAGGCCAGUUCCUGACUCUUCUGCUGAGUAAUACCAGAGAUUCCUCUCACGAAGCACUGAGAGGGAAGCCUCCAGGAUCCUAGAGCGGACGACUUGGUGUCUGGGGCGGGGUUCUGCGGAAGUCGACCUCAGGAGGCCACUGCAGGCAUCAAAGGCCUCUUGGUUCGUCAAAGGCCUCUUGGUUCGUUUUCCGGUUGCCUUAAGUCAAUGUCAGCAAUUUGGGGCUCAGGAAAAAAGACAGCGCACUGAAGCAGCCACAGGAAAGGCUAAUUCAGGUGUGAGCAAGCUACAGAUCAAAGGGGCUUUGGGUAGGACUAGGAGUUCUACAUGUUUUGCUAAGGGCAAAGCAACUUGUACCAUAUGCUCCAUGGUAACCUCAUUUCUGGACUUUGGGCAAAGGUUCAUUUGUAUGUGAACUGUGCACCAAGUGAGCCUUUUUCAGUAUUGCCAAAGAGCUACUUACUGUUCAGAGAAACUUGAUAAAACAGCAUCACUUAGAAAUAAACGGCGCAGUUCCUAAGCCAUGUGGAAUGUAGUGUCCAUGUGACAAUAAACUUGUGACUGAUUUGUAGGUCUUGAAACUGAAUUAAGGAAGUUAGAGGCUUAAAAUAUACAUGUUUGUGUAAAGAAACAUUAGAAAGAUGCAGGAAACUAAUAAAAUUGGCUACCUGUGGAGGUGGCAAACAGGGGGAAUCAAGGUGGAAACAAGUUAUUUCUGUAUCUUUUUAGAUCAUUUUGACUUUUGAAUUAUAUAUUACCUGUUCAAAAACAUAGACAAAUUUUUUAAUAAAACUUUUGGAGUAGUUUCUGAGAUCUGGUCAUUUUAGAUUUACAGAAAAAUUGUGAAAGAAGUACAGAGAGUUCUUAUAUCCACCCCCCCACACACACACACUUAGUUUCCCUAUAGUUAACAUCUUACCUUAUGUAAUAUAUUUAUCACAACUCUUGAGUUACUAUUGCAUGUUAUUAUUAUUAAAGUCCAUACUUUAUUCACACUUCCUUAGUUUUUACCUAAUGUCCUUUCUCUAUUCUAGGAUCCCAGCCAGCAUACCAUGUUACAUUUAAUUGUCAUAUCUCACGUGUUCCUGUUGGUUGUGACACUUUCUCACACUUCCCUUGGUUCUGAUGACCUUGACAUUUUUGAGACAUAUUUGUCAGGUCUUUUGUAGGAUGCCACUCAAUUGAAAUUUGACUGAUGUUUUUCUCAUUACUAUACUGAGGUUAGAGGUUUGGGGGAGGAAGACCACAGAGGUGAAAUGUCAUUCUUAUCAAGAGUCCACACUGUCAACUUAUGACUGUUGACACAUAAAACAACUUGUAAAAUGGAAAAAGGCAGAGGGUGAUAAUUUGUGGAAUUUGAGUUUGAAGCAAAAGUUUUCUUAAGCUUGGAGAUAGAACUGAUGAAGUAUUGUUGUCAGGAUAUAAGAGAGUGGGAACCAUCCAACACGUUAUCUACACAUUGGUCUAAAUUACAAAGAUGGAAUGGACCUUUCUUUGGAGAGAUGGAGGAUCUAUUCUGUCGCAAUUCCAGAGGAGACAAAACAUCCCUGUUGCUAAAAUGCUGUCUGCCGUAGCCUCAUCAGCUGUAGCAGUAACAGUGGUAGCAAUAGACAGAGCUUAUUUAAUCACUGUAUCUGUCUUCCAACACAAAUAGUGUGGACUUGUGAGUGGUAAAACAAUGAUGAUGUUAUUGUUGUUUCCCCAAAUUAAUUCAAUAUCAGUUGAAUUUCUAAUUUUUUGCCUUCUCUAUUCCUGUGUUCCUUCAUCUGUUCUACUAUUUGCAAAUCUCUUCAACUCCUAUCUUGUUUCCCAAUUUAAUUAAAUGUGACAAAAAGUCUUUUCAAGUAGAAACUAUGUUAUUUUAUAUACUCACUUAUAGCCCAGAUUUUGUGUUUGAGUUGCCUUUUUAAAGUAUAUAUUUAAAUAGUAUAUUAGUCAGGUGUUCAUUCCAG
ensembl:lncRNA